AGAGUUUGAUCCUGGCUCAGGAUGAACGCUAGCGAUAGGCUUAACACAUGCAAGUCGAGGGGUAACAUGGAGAGAAGCUUGCUUCACUCUGAUGACGACCGGCGGAUGGGUGAGUAACGCGUAUGCAACUUGCCUCUUAGUGGGGGAUAACCCGGAGAAAUUCGGACUAAUACCGCAUAUUCUUAAUUUCUCGCAUGGGUUAUUAAGGAAAGAUUUAUUGCUAAGAGAUAGGCAUGCGUUCCAUUAGUUAGUUGGUGAGGUAACGGCUCACCAAGGCAUCGAUGGAUAGGGGAGCUGAGAGGCUGAUCCCCCACAUUGGGACUGAGACACGGCCCAAACUCCUACGGGAGGCAGCAGUGAGGAAUAUUGGUCAAUGGAGGAAACUCUGAACCAGCCAAGUCGCGUGAAGGAUGACGGUCCUAUGGAUUGUAAACUUCUUUAGUAGGUGAGUAAGGAUAGGUACGUGUACCUAUUAGAAAGUAGCCUAAGAAUAAGUAUCGGCUAACUCCGUGCCAGCAGCCGCGGUAAUACGGAGGAUACGAGCGUUAUCCGGAUUUAUUGGGUUUAAAGGGUGCGUAGGUGGCUGAUUAAGUCAGUGGUGAAAAGCUAUGGCUCAACCAUAGUCUUGCCGUUGAUACUGGUUAGCUUGAGUGUAGAUGAUGUAGGCGGAAUGCGUAGUGUAGCGGUGAAAUGCAUAGAUAUUACGCAGAACUCCGAUUGCGAAGGCAGCUUACAAAACUACUACUGACACUGAGGCACGAAAGCGUGGGUAUCAAACAGGAUUAGAUACCCUGGUAGUCCACGCCGUAAACUAUGAUUACUCAGAGUAUGCGAUAUACAGUAUGCUCUCAAGCGAAAGCAUUAAGUAAUCCACCUGGGGAGUACGUCGGCAACGAUGAAACUCAAAGGAAUUGACGGGGGCCCGCACAAGCGGAGGAACAUGUG
rnacentral:rRNA from 1 species